CUCCCAUUUGGCAAGGCCAUUGUUGUGGCUAAUGUAUGUAUUUCUGAAAACAAUGAUACGUUUCCAAUACUUUCUUCCACAAUUUUUUUUCAAUGAGCAAUAAAGGAGGUUGAGGUGGGAUGUGUUUUAUCCCACCACAUUAUAUCAUUCCUCUUUUUCCUCUUUGUUGGAUGGCAAUCAGGAACCCUCAUGCCAAGCUUGGGAAGCAACAGCAUCUGGCUCCUUGGCAGAUUCUGCAGGCGGUCUUGUUGCCAGCCUUUAAGCUGUGUCUGGGUCUGCUGCAUGGUUUGGCUGCAGAUGGGCUCUCUGGGUUGCCUUGUGCUUAUGGGUGCCAGUUUUGGCUUACCUUUGAUUCUGAGGACUUUACUCAUUUUUAUUCAUUUGUGAAUAAGGACCCAUCCAAAUGCUUCAUGAAACCAGUAUCAAAGUGUGCCGAUAUUUAAAAUGAAAAGGGAAGGAGGCUGCUUCCCUUCCCCCUCCCCUCCCCAGGAUGAAACAUUAUAAUAGCAUCUGCAAAUGGAUCUGGAUCUAUCAGUAUUUCCAUUAUAAAUCAGAGGCUUAGAGCUCAGCCAUGAAUAUUCCUCCCAGAACGAAAUGCAAUGCUGCCGUUAGUAUCAAAAUAGCGCCGAAGGUUUUUCAGACCACCUAGGCAUUCCCGUGCUUGGUUUCCCUCCUCCAAGGGAGAUCAUUUUAAAGACGUGACAGUCUAGCAUUGAACAUACGUCCAAAAACUUGUGUGUGACAAAAAUUGCUUCUCGCUGGUGUUUCUGGAAGCUGAGGUUCAGUGCAGUUUUGGAGUCACUUCCAACCCCAAGAUUGAAAGAAAAUCUUUGAAGCUGGAGAAUCAGUGGGUGCCGAGCUGCGGCCGUGAACACAAUCCUCUGCGACCACUAUCUGUAGACCUUGGAGGCUGGGAGGAUGCAGCAGGGAAGCUGUUUCCACGUCUCCUGCACUGAGCUAGAGAGGCCGCUGCUCAGACCCUGUCUGGCCAUCAUUCUGCCUGGGUUUGGGCACCCUGAUGGGAACCGCCUCUCCCAAAGGGGUGCGGGGAGAGGGGGAUGCAGGAGGCUAAUCGGAGGUGUCAGGCUGCGCAGCAGCGAGCGAGGCGGGGGGCAACCCAGUACCUCUGCCCAGCCAGUCAGGGCUGAUACUGCUCAGCACAGAUGGCUGAGGGGGCUGCCCAGUGACCAAAUUAAGCCUUCAAAACACAACACGACUUCUCGCGUUUUGGAAGGAGACUUUCUGGCCCCCAGGCCCCGGUGCCUGCACCUCCCUACCUGUCUGGCUAGACAAGGCUAUCUGGGGAGAGGUGGGGAUUCACCUUCAAAAAAAAAAAAUAAAAAAGAUUGUUCCUGUUCUGGUGAAGGACUUGAGUGCCGAUGCAGCUCUAAGCAUGGGAGGAAGUUACGUGUGUUUCAUGAGAUGGCUCACCUUUAAAAUUAAACUACUUAAUAACUUUCAAAUGUCAGGUCUCAUUAUUGCAUGUCGGUCAGAACCUUGUCUAAAGUUCAUUUGAUUUUUGGCUAGUAAGAGCACACAUUACAGAUCAAAAUAAUAACCUAAUAACUAGUUAGGAUUUUUAAUGUGAACCUCUCCCCCCUCCCGUGUGAGUGCUAUGAGAAUUCGUCGGGAAAUCUCACGUUAGCAAUAAGCACACACACGAAUAUUAUCUCCAAAAAGAUUCCAACAUGAGCAAAAGGUGAGGGUGCCAAUAAAUAGAGAAGGUCAAAAAAACAGAUUUGGUGAUUAUUUGUUUAAAUUCCAUCUGAUUUCUCUUUCCAGGCUGUCUCUUAUGCAUUUUGCUUAGGGAAGCAAUGGUUGCCUAUUGUUGGAGAGGUUAGUUAUUCUUUGUAAUGUCCGUCUGCACAUAAAAACACGACUGUUUAUAUGGUCACGUCAGUAUUUCCUUGUUUACUGUUCUCUUUGACGAGUUUCACCCAUCCAAAGGAAAACAGAAGGAUUAGUGUGUGGUUUAGGUGAUCGGCUGAAUACCAUGAGGGGCGAAUGGCAAAUAGGAAACCGUCAGCUCAAACAGCUCAUAAAUUAGGCACAAGAUGAAAAUCAUGACCCUAAAUCAUUAGCAGCCAGAAGUAAAAAUAAGCCAAAAAGUUGUGAAUAUGCUCAACACAGCUCUGGCUGGUCCAUCAACCAUUCACUAACAGAAGUUCUGCAACUAUGGCCAGUGAUAUUUGAACAAAUAAUAUUACUAUUGCUAGCUCUGCUGUGUGUGACUCCCACCUCACAGAGGAGGACUAGGCAGGGAUCACACGCCCUGAGUUUAGACCACAUCAGAGAUGCUCUGCUGUACCAGUCAGAGAUGUGUACUGCCUGUUCAGAGCCACCUCUUCUUCCUCAGGUCAUUGCUAUGAAUACGAGCACAAACGUACAGGAUUCAGUCAUUUGUUGCUGGUGUUUUGCUAGGGAUCUAGGCUCAAGGGUUGACAAAGACAUCUUUAUUGCUGUCUCACCAUCCAGCUUCUAGUGGGCCAAGGAGCACAGCACAGAAGCUGUCAUCCCACUUGGCUCUACUUGUUCUCACUGUUGGCACCCACAGCUGGAGGCCAUGGACUGAAUGGGCACAGGGGAUGAAUCCUCCUCUGAAAGCUUGCAGAUCAGGGGUGAGGUGUGUUGGAAGAGUAAUGUCAUGCUCCUUUACACCUCCUUUUAAAUGGACCUGCUCUCUGGAUAAGGGAAGGAAUUAUGAUCGCAGAGGGGUGAAGUCUCCUCUACCAGUUUUGAUACUCUUAGUAAUGGUUUGUGAAUGUGGCCAUUUAAAAGCUGUAUUCCAGGAAGGAGCACUUCUGGAGCAGACUGGCCUUUUUGACUGACUGCAGACCACUGAAUUCCUGCCCAAGGGUAAUUUUUUAAAAGGAAAAUACAGAGAAACCCCGUGUCAGAUUUUUAAAUCUUUCUUUAGUAUGAUUUUCAAGCAGUGCUUUGCCCUACUUUGAACAGUCACGAACAGAACAUUAAAACAAACACCUUCUCAUGUUUUCAGUUGAGCUUAUCUGUUCAUUUCCUUUCUGUGGCAUUUUACCUGCAAACUUAAGGCUCUUGCCAUUUGCCAAGACGUGUCCUCAACUCCUCACUGCGCAACAUUGCAUGCACACAUGAGCAGCAGCUGCUCCUUUAUGUGUCUGGAGCAAGCAAAAUCUGGAAAAUCAGAAGAGCCAUGUAGUGCAGUUCAACGUAUUCAGAACAGGGGUAUUUGCCUCACAGUACACCAGCUAUGUACACGUUGGCCCCACAAAAUGGCAACAUCCCUACGUGCCUCCUAUGUCUGCUCACUUCACUCUGUGUUCCAGCUUGGAGAAAGCAGCUCAGUGUGUGUCAAGUUUCCACGGUGCCCCCCAGCCGUUCUGCCUGUGGGACAAAUGCACUGCUCCUGCCCCGGUUCCUGAAGAAGAGGAACCAUCUGCCAACAGCACAAUGAAAAACUGUUGAAGCAAAUCUCCAGGUUUCAUUAGUUUUCACUUUUCUACUCUGUAAACUCUCCCUUGUUUUUAUUUUCCACAGCUUUGGCAAGCAGUUUGCUUUUACAGAUCAGGCUUUGCCCAGUCACUGAGGUGCAUAUAGGCUUCUCUUAGCUUUUGACUGGCAUGUUAAGCGAGAAUUAAGAAAUAAAAAGGGAUAUUGUUAGGGUUUGGACUUUCUGUUUAUGAAGACAACGGGAGCAUUUUUGUCCACUCCUGGCUGAGGAAGAUGGAGCAUGGGCUGCCUCCAUUCAGCACCGUAACUCAGUAAGUUUGUAGUUUGCUCUUGAAGCAGGUACAUGCUCCCCAGCUGAUUUCCUUUUGCAGCCUUAUUUUCAGCCUCUGGCAAGAAAAAGCUCUUCCUUUACGUUCACAGCAGCAGGAUAGGGUCCAGGAUGUUUAAAUCCUCAAAACUUUCUGUUAUUUCCUGACAAUACCCAAUUCACUGGGCCAAGAUUUGAAUACACAUCUUCCUUGCACCAUUUCACAAAAGGCUU
ensembl:lncRNA